rnacentral:rRNA from 1 species
GACGAACGCUGGCGGCGUGCUUAACACAUGCAAGUCGAACGGAAAGGCCCUGCUUUUGUGGGGUGCUCGAGUGGCGAACGGGUGAGUAACACGUGAGUAACCUGCCCUUGACUUUGGGAUAACUUCAGGAAACUGGGGCUAAUACCGGAUAGGAGCUCCUGCUGCAUGGUGGGGGUUGGAAAGUUUCGGCGGUUGGGGAUGGACUCGCGGCUUAUCAGCUUGUUGGUGGGGUAGUGGCUUACCAAGGCUUUGACGGGUAGCCGGCCUGAGAGGGUGACCGGCCACAUUGGGACUGGGAUGCGGCCCAGACUCCUACGGGAGGCAGCAGUGGGGAAUAUUGCACAAUGGGCGGAAGCCUGAUGCAGCAACGCCGCGUGCGGGAUGACGGCCUUCGGGUUGUAAACCGCUUUCGCCUGUAACGAAGCGUGAGUGACGGUAAUGGGUAAAGAAGCACCGGCUAACUACGUG